GACGAACGCUGGCGGCGUGCUUAACACAUGCAAGUCGAACGAAGAGCGAUGGAAGCUUGCUUCUAUCAAUCUUAGUGGCGAACGGGUGAGUAACGCGUAAUCAACCUGCCCUUCAGAGGGGGACAACAGUUGGAAACGACUGCUAAUACCGCAUACGAUCUAAUCUCGGCAUCGAGGAUAGAUGAAAGGUGGCCUCUACAUGUAAGCUAUCACUGAAGGAGGGGAUUGCGUCUGAUUAGCUAGUUGGAGGGGUAGCGGCCCACCAAGGCGAUGAUCAGUAGCCGGUCUGGGAGGAUGAACGGCCACAUUGGGACUGAGACACGGCCCAGACUCCUACGGGAGGCAGCAGUGGGGAAUCUUCCGCAAUGGACGAAAGUCUGACGGAGCAACGCCGCGUGAGUGAUGACGGCCUUCGGGUUGUAAAGCUCUGUUAAUCGGGACGAAAGGCCUUCUUGCGAAUAGUGAGAAGGAUUGACGGUACCGGAAUAGAAAGCCACGGCUAACUACGUG
rnacentral:rRNA from 1 species